rnacentral:rRNA from 2 species
UGCAAGUCGAACGAACUCUGGUAUUGAUUGGUGCUUGCAUCAUGAUUUACAUUUGAGUGAGUGGCGAACUGGUGAGUAACACGUGGGAAACCUGCCCAGAAGCGGGGGAUAACACCUGGAAACAGAUGCUAAUACCGCAUAACAACUUGGACCGCAUGGUCCGAGUUUGAAAGAUGGCUUCGGCUAUCACUUUUGGAUGGUCCCGCGGCGUAUUAGCUAGAUGGUGAGGUAACGGCUCACCAUGGCAAUGAUACGUAGCCGACCUGAGAGGGUAAUCGGCCACAUUGGGACUGAGACACGGCCCAAACUCCUACGGGAGGCAGCAGUAGGGAAUCUUCCACAAUGGACGAAAGUCUGAUGGAGCAACGCCGCGUGAGUGAAGAAGGGUUUCGGCUCGUAAAACUCUGUUGUUAAAGAAGAACAUAUCUGAGAGUAACUGUUCAGGUAUUGACGGUAUUUAACCAGAAAGCCACGGCUAACUACGUGCCAGCAGCCGCGGUAAUACGUAGGUGGCAAGCGUUGUCCGGAUUUAUUGGGCGUAAAGCGAGCGCAGGCGGUUUUUUAAGUCUGAUGUGAAAGCCUUCGGCUCAACCGAAGAAGUGCAUCGGAAACUGGGAAACUUGAGUGCAGAAGAGGACAGUGGAACUCCAUGUGUAGCGGUGAAAUGCGUAGAUAUAUGGAAGAACACCAGUGGCGAAGGCGGCUGUCUGGUCUGUAACUGACGCUGAGGCUCGAAAGUAUGGGUAGCAAACAGGAUUAGAUACCCUGGUAGUCCAUACCGUAAACGAUGAAUGCUAAGUGUUGGAGGGUUUCCGCCCUUCAGUGCUGCAGCUAACGCAUUAAGCAUUCCGCCUGGGGAGUACGGCCGCAAGGCUGAAACUCAAAGGAAUUGACGGGGGCCCGCACAAGCGGUGGAGCAUGUGGUUUAAUUCGAAGCUACGCGAAGAACCUUACCAGGUCUUGACAUACUAUGCAAAUCUAAGAGAUUAGACGUUCCCUUCGGGGACAUGGAUACAGGUGGUGCAUGGUUGUCGUCAGCUCGUGUCGUGAGAUGUUGGGUUAAGUCCCGCAACGAGCGCAACCCUUAUUAUCAGUUGCCAGCAUUAAGUUGGGCACUCUGGUGAGACUGCCGGUGACAAACCGGAGAAAGGUGGGGAUGACGUCAAAUCAUCAUGCCCCUUAUGACCUGGGCUACACACGUGCUACAAUGGAUGGUACAACGAGUUGCGAACUCGCGAGAGUAAGCUAAUCUCUUAAAGCCAUUCUCAGUUCGGAUUGUAGGCUGCAACUCGCCUACAUGAAGUCGGAAUCGCUAGUAAUCGCGGAUCAGCAUGCCGCGGUGAAUACGUUCCCGGGCCUUGUACACACCGCCCGUCACACCAUGAGAGUUUGUAACACCCAAAGUCGGUGGGGUAACCUUUUAGGAACCA